rnacentral:rRNA from 1 species
CCUACGUGUGGCAGCAGUGAGGAAUAUUGGUCAAUGGGCGCGAGCCUGAACCAGCCAAGUAGCGUGAAGGAUGACUGCCCUACGGGUUGUAAACUUCUUUUAUAAAGGAAUAAAGUGGGGCACGUGUGCCUUUUUGUAUGUACUUUAUGAAUAAUGAUCGGCUAACUCCGUGCCAGCAGCCGCGGUAAUACGGAGGAUCCGAGCGUUAUCCGGAUUUUUUGGGUUUAAGGGGAGCUUAGAUGGGUUGUUAAGUCAGUUGUGAAAGUUUUCGGUUCAACCGGAAAAUUGCAAUUGAUCCUGGCAGUCUUGAGUACAGGUGAGGUAGGCGGAAUUCGUGGUGUAGCGGUGAAAUGCUUAGAUAUCACGAAGAACUCCGAUUGCGAAGGCAGCUUACUAAACUGCCACUGACAUUGAUGCUCGAAAGUGUGGGUAUCAAACAGGAUUAGAUACCCGUGUAGUC